AUGAAUGGGAGAGGACUUUUCACUAACACGGGUCAUCGGACAACGUACUUUGUGGCAGGACUCCAAAUGCUGAGCCUCGUGUGUGCUUGUUGUGGAGAACUUUCGGGGCCUACAACUGCACAGUUCACUUUCUCUGGAGGUUUUCUGUGCAGGACUUCUUCACUGUGCACAUCACCAUUCCCACUACCACAGUGCCCUAUACUUUACCCACAGGAAUCUUACCAAUGGGAAUAUAUUAGUCAGGGUUCUCUAGAGAGACAGAACUAAUAAGAUAUGUAUAUAUGAAGGGGAGUUUAUUAAGGACUGUCGACUCACAACGUCACAAGAUGAAGUCCCAUAAUAGGCUGUCUUCAAGCUGAGGAGCAGGGAAGCCAGUCCAAGUGCCUAAACCUCAAAAGUAGGGAGGCCAACAGUGUAAUCUUCAGCCUGUGGUCUGAGAGUUCCUGGCUAACCACUGGUGCAAGUCUAAGAGUCCAAAAGCUGAAGAACUUGGAGUCUGAUGUUUGAUGGCAGGAAGCCUCCAGCACGGGGGAAAGAUGAAGGCUGGAAGACUCAGCAAGUCAAAUCCUUCCAUGUUCUUCUGCCUGCUUUAUUCUAGCUGCGAUGGCGGCUGAUCAUUUGGUACCUACACAGAUUGAGGGUGGGUCUGUCUCCCCCAGUCCACUGACUCAGAUGUUAAUCUUUGGCAACACCUUCACAGACACACCCAGGAACAGUAUUUUGCAUCCUUCCAUCCAAUCGCGUUGACACUCAAUAUUAACCAUCACAGGGGAUAUUGCAGCCAAUUCCAUGGAUGCUUCUCUAAUCUACUGUUUUUCUCUGAGUCCCUCUAGCCUUUGCUUAAAUGAGUGUAGGAGGCAAAGUGCAAUUUACUAUAUAAAAAAGUGUGAAACAAGACGCUAGUCUCCCUUUCCUAUAAGACUAUGCCCUGCCCCCAAUCCCUAUGAGUAGUUCCCCUGGAUUCAUUUUACUUGCCUUGAAGGAAGCCCCUUCAUUUGACUCAAGUUUGGAAAGGUAAAGAGCUUUAUUCCUCCCUCCCUUGGUUAACAUCUUAGCACAGUUGUGCCCAUGCAUGGCUUGUUGAGGGAGAUGAGAGGAGGGAGGACAAGAUUUGGAUAGUAGUUUGAGUUUAGUCAUGUCCUAGUAAAUUCCACAGGACAUGUUAGCCUCCCCUCUCUGCAUUUGCUUUAGCCAAUUGAUUGAAAUUUGAUACAUUUUCUGUAACCAUAUAUUAGCUCCAGGCCCACUUACCAGGUAAGGUCCAAUCUGACAUCUUAUUAUAGUUUUAUAGUUUUAUAUACAUGUAACUAAAUUAUAAUCCUUUAAAUAUUAUUGGGAAGAUGUUGGUCAAGGAUACAAAAUUUAUUUGACAGGGGAAGUAAAUUGAAAGAGGUCUAUGGUACAUUAUGGUGACUAUAGUUAACAACAAUGUAGUAUAUCUUCAAAAAUGCCAAAAGAGUACAUUUUAAGAGUUCUCACCACGAAAAAAUAAGUUUAUGAGGUAAUACAUAUGUUAAUUAGCUUGGUUUAGUGAUUCCGCAAUGUGUACAUAUACCAAAACAUUAUGAUGUACCCCAUAAAUGUAUAUAAUUUUUUAUUUGUCAUUUUUAAAAAUGAGCAUUAUUGGGUCAUAUGUUCAUACAUUCUUUUCUUUUUUUGUUUGUUUGUUUUUUUUUUUUUUGAGAUAGAGUUUUACUCUUGUUGCCCAGGCUGAAGUGCAAUGGCCCGAUCUCGGCUCACCACAACCUCCACCCAGGUUCAAGCAAUUCUCCUGCCUCAGCUCUCCGGGUAGCUGGGAUUACAGGCAUGCACCACCACACCCAGCUAAUUUUGUAUUUUUAGUAGAGACAGGGUUUCUCCCUGUUGAGUCUGGUCUCGAACUCCUGACCUCAGGUGAUCUGCCCACCUCUGCCUCGCAAACUGCUGGGAUUACAGGCGUGUGCCACCAUGCCCGGCCAUAUAGUUAUACAUUCUAUUUUUAAUUUAACAUAAGUGUUUUCUGCAUAACUAAACAUUAAACUGAUAUCAUAUAUAUAUGAUUUUAUGAUGUGGAUACGUCAAAAGAUAAUUAAUCUAUCACGUAUUUGUUGCACUCGAACAUAUUUUCAGUUUUCUUGCCAAAAUAAAGGUGGUAAGAAUGAAAAUUAUGUACUUAAAUUUUUGUGCACAUAUUUAACUACUUUCUUAUAAACAGUUUUUGUGGUGGAAUUACUGGCUGAAAUAAUUUUUAUCUUUGAAAUUUUCAUUAUGUAUAUCAUGGAAUUGCCCUUCAGAAAUGUGCCGUUUUAUAUUCUUACCAGCAUGUGUGAAGCUGCCCAUUUUACUGCUUGGGAAUAUGUAACAUUAUAUUUCUGAAAAGUAUUUUUCAAGUAGAAAAGCAAAAUAAU
ensembl:lncRNA